UUCACUCACUCUCUCUCUCUCUCUCAUCUGAACCUGCUGCAACUCUCUCUCAAUCGAACUCGCUCUCACUCUCACUCCGAAAAUACCGAUUUCUAUUGGGUUUGCCAUCAACAACAUUCGUUACUGGGCAGAGAGCUUCACCCUGUGAGAGAGCAUACUCUCUUUGCCUCACCAGAGAAGAAGAUAACAGCCACCUUCAUUUGGUGCCAAACCAUCCUCGUUGGAGAAGAAAUCUUCAUCUCGUGCCAGGUUAAAUAACAAAUCUUCAUUUGUCAUCAAAGAAGGAAAAUCUAGGCAUCGCAGCACCACUGCUGCAUAAAAAAAAUUCAGGCCAAGUCAGUUUGAAAAUCGACUUAUCUAUCCAAAGUAAUUGGAAAGAAGCUCAUGGCAAAAGUUCUUGGAAACAACUCCUUAUCUGUAAUCGAAUCUGGGUUUGAGAACAAGCAAACAGAGCUCGCUGCAAGGUUUUCCUUAAAAGUAAGAUCUUGAACUUCACUUUCAGCGGAUCACUGAUUGGUCUCACACCCUACCCACAGACCACAUGAUAAACAGUCUGAGUGUCUGACCAUGCCAGUAUGGAUGUUCAAGAGGGGUGAUAGUGACACCUUGUUUCUCUAUUGGUUGGUGCACAUAGCUUCAGUCCUUGCUAGCUGAAUUGAAGAAAAAUACCAAGGAAAAACCACCAUCCAUUAAGACACUUUUUGGGUACUUGAAAUGCACCAAGGAAAUCAUGGAAACAUCAAAGAGAAUCCAGAAAGGAAUAAAGGAGAUUCCAGAAUUAUUUAUCAUUGGAAGACCAGAUCUGACAAUUGUGGCAUUUGGUUCAAAUGAUGUAGACAUAUUUGAGGUGAAUGAUAUUAUGUCUUCCAAAGGGUGGCAUUUGAAUGCAUUGCAGAAACCCAACAGCUCUUAUGCCUUGGAGUGAACCUAAAGAAUUUUCCUAGCACAGCAAGGCACAGAAAGUGCACUAGAGGGAG